AUAAAUCAUCAUUUAUCUUUUAUAGUAAACAAAAAAGGGUAAAUUUCCGUAAUUUUAGUAAUUUCCAAAUUAAAAUACCCACGAAAAACUAAACUGAUUUUGUCUAAUUAAUAUCAACUUUUGUUGAAUAGGUAAUUUACAAAUUUGGCGACCUCUAGCAAGAACAUUUGGAUAAUAAGUCGACUACUGCCAUAACGUAACGUUUAGAAAAUUUUACUGUUAUCAAGAAUCACACAUAUACUGUUAUCAAGAAUCACACAUAUAUCCGACAAAUUGAUUUAUAAAACCAAAACUUUCAACUGAAAUAUUUAAAAUAAGGGCAAAAAACUUAACUUUGUGUCUUCUUUAAAUAUCGUAUCAUUUGCGUAUCUAUUUCUGAUUAAUUGAAAACAUGCCAUUAAAAUUUACCGCUGGUUAUGUUAUUAUCUAUUCUUUUAUGUUAGUGUUAGUACACGGUGACGGUGGAGGUACUCCUAAUGACCUACCUAUCGCUAAUAACCCUAACCCGCCACCUGAUAAUGCACCCCCAGCUGAUUGCCCCCCACCUUGUAAGAGAGACUUUCUUUGGAUCCAAAAUGUGUGUAAAAGAGGUGUACGUGAAUAUAGUCCCACUGUAUAUAAUUGUUUUUGUUGUAAGUGACGAUUUCAAUUAUUAAAGGCCCAAUUGCCAUUUAUUAUGCAAAUUCAAUAGUAAUGUUAAGUAUUCCAAAAGAUCUUUCCAUAAUUUAUUCUUAUAAAGAAGCACACUCACAAAUUGAGGCACUGCAAACAAUUAAAUUAAUUUACACCUACUCACUACAAAAUAAAUUGGGAUGACAUAAAGUGCAUAUAUCCUAAUAAUUAUAUAGUAUAAUAACUUUGCUGUGUUAACUAUAUAAUAACGUUAUUUUUGCAUAUUUAAAAAAUAAAACAUUAAAUGUCAACUUUUGUCCGUACAGUAUUUUUGUAAUACAUUUAUCAUAAGUGAUAAAAUAAAAUAGUUUUUAAAUACAGUUUAUUUGUUGUAUUGAUUUCAUGAGACAUUACUUACACAUCAUAUUACCUAUGAAGUUCCUGCGGACCGUAGUUAUUGCUUUGUGAUAUUGAAAACCACAACUCCAAUAUUAAGACAAAACAAUUACUUUCAUUGCAUUUUUUUAAAAUAAAAUACGUUCUUUAUAUUUAACAUAAUACGAGUCGUAGGGAAAUUAAUUUAAAUUAAAAAAAACUUAUUUUAAACGGUAAUUCUUUUAGAAAUGUUUACGUAAAGAACAAAAUAUGUUCCUUAAUAUAGUGUAAUUCUUAAACAAAUCAUUGUUGUGAAAUCAUUAUAUUCGACUGAACAUGACUUAGACUUCGAUUGUUCGUCAGCGAUGGUAACCAUCAAUUUUUU
rnacentral:lncRNA from 1 species